rnacentral:rRNA from 1 species
AGACGAAGGCGUGAUGCGGAGCGAAAUGAAGUAGUGAAGCUGCGGCCCCUUCCUGUCGAGAAAAGCCGCUAUCGUGUAGCAAGGGCCCGUACCGUAAACCGACACAGGUGGAUGAGGAGAGGAUCCUAAGGCCGGCGGGAGAAGUGUUGUUAAGGAACUCGGCAAAAUGACUCCGUAACUUCGGGAGAAGGAGUGCUGCGCAAGCAGCCGCAGAGAAAUGGCCCAAGCAACUGUUUAGCAAAAACACAGGUCUAUGCGAAACCGAAAGGUGAGGUAUAUGGGCUGACGCCUGUCCGGUGCUGGAAGGUUAAGGGGAGAGCUUAGCGCAAGCGAAGGUUUGAACUUAAGCCCCAGUAAACGGCGGCCGUAACAAUAACGGUCCUAAGGUAGCGAAAUUCCUUGUCGGGUAAGUUCCGACCCGCACGAAAGGCGUAAUGAUUUGGGCACUGUCUCAACAACACACCCGGUGAAAUUGAAAUACCAGUGAAGAUGCUGGUUACCCGCGCCAGGACGGAAAGACCCCAUGGAGCUUUACUCCAGCCUGAUACUGGGAUUCGGUAUUGCAUGUACAGGAUAGGUGGGAGGCUAAGAACUUAUGGCGCCAGCCGUGAGGGAGCCGAUGUUGGGAUACCACCCCUGCAGUACUGGGUUUCUAACCUGCGCCCGUGACCCGGGCGGGGGACAAUGUCAGGCGGGGAGUUUGACUGGGGCGGUCGCCUCCGAAAGGGUAUCGGAGGCGCUCAAAGGUCUCCUCAGGAUGGUUGGAAACCACCCAGAGAGUGCAAAGGCAGAAGGAGGCUUGACUGCGACACCGACGGGUGGAGCAGGUACGAAAGUAGGACUUAGUAAUCCGGUGGCAUAAAGUGGGAUUGCCAUCGCUCAACGGAUAAAAGCUACCCUUGGGAUAACAGGCUUAUCACUCCCAAGAGUUCACAUCGACGGAGUGGUUUGGCACCUCGAUGUCGGCUCAUCGCAUCCUGGAGCUGGAGCAGGUUCCAAGGGUUGGGCUGUUCGCCCAUUAAAGCGGUACGCGAGCUGGGUUCAGAACGUCGUGAGACAGUUCGGUCCCUAUCCGGCGCGGGCGCAGGAUAUCUGAGAGGAGCUGUCCUUAGUACGAGAGGACCGGGAUGGACCGUCCGCUGGUGGACCGGUUGUCAUGCCAAUGGCACGGCCGGGUAGCCAAGACGGGAAGGGAUAAACGCUGAAGGCAUCUAAGCGUGAAGCCCCCCUCAAGAUGAGAUAUCCAUACUCGAAAGAGUGAGAGACCCCUUAGAGACGAUGAGGUAGAUAGGGCAGAGAUGGAAGCACAGCGAUGUGUGGAGUUGACUGUUACUAAUCGGUCGAUAGCUUGAA